GUAACAAGGUCUCCGUUGGUGAACCAGCGGAGGGAUCAUUACCGAGUUUACAACUCCCAAACCCCUGUGAACAUACCACUUGUUGCCUCGGCGGAUCAGCCCGCUCCCGGUAAAACGGGACGGCCCGCCAGAGGACCCCUAAACUCUGUUUCUAUAUGUAACUUCUGAGUAAAACCAUAAAUAAAUCAAAACUUUCAACAACGGAUCUCUUGGUUCUGGCAUCGAUGAAGAACGCAGCAAAAUGCGAUAAGUAAUGUGAAUUGCAGAAUUCAGUGAAUCAUCGAAUCUUUGAACGCACAUUGCGCCCGCCAGUAUUCUGGCGGGCAUGCCUGUUCGAGCGUCAUUUCAACCCUCAAGCACAGCUUGGUGUUGGGACUCGCGUUAAUUCGCGUUCCUCAAAUUGAUUGGCGGUCACGUCGAGCUUCCAUAGCGUAGUAGUAAAACCCUCGUUACUGGUAAUCGUCGCGGCCACGCCGUUAAACCCCAACUUCUGAAUGUUGACCUCGGAUCAGGUAGGAAUACCCGCUGAACUUAAGCAUAUCAA
rnacentral:rRNA from 1 species